rnacentral:rRNA from 2 species
CGGAAGGGAUAAGUGCUGAAAGCAUCUAAGCAUGAAGCCCCCCUCAAGAUGAGAUUUCCCAUAGCGUAAGCUAGUAAGAUCCCUGAAAGAUGAUCAGGUUGAUAGGUUCGAGGUGGAAGCAUGGUGACAUGUGGAGCUGACGAAUACUAAUAGAUCGAGGACUUAACCAUAUAA